GCAUAUCAAUAAGCGGAGGAAAAGAAACUAACAAGGAUUCCCCUAGUAACGGCGAGUGAAGCGGGAAGAGCUCAAAUUUGUAAUCUGGCCCUUUCAGGGUCCGAGUUGUAAUCUCGAGAAGUGUUUUCCGCGCCGGACCGCAUACAAGUCUGUUGGAAUACAGCGUCAUAGUGGUGAGAGCCCCGUAAUUGAUGUGGAUGCCCGGUGCUUUGUGAUACACUUUCGAAGAGUCGAGUUGUUUGGGAAUGCAGCUCAAAUUGGGUGGUAAAUUCCAUCUAAAGCUAAAUAUUGGCGAGAGACCGAUAGCGAACAAGUACCGUGAGGGAAAGAUGAAAAGCACUUUGGAAAGAGAGUUAACAGUACGUGAAAUUGUUGGAAGGGAAACGCUUGAAGUCAGACUUGCUAUUCGGAAUUCAGCCGCAAGGUGUACUUUUCGAUUUGCAGGCCAGCAUCAGUUUUUGGGGGUGGAAAAGGGUGGAGAGAAGGUAGCAACCUUGGUUGUGUUAUAGCUCUUUACUGGAUUCAUCUUUGGGGACUGAGGAUCGAAGUGCGCAAUUUACUUUGCAAACCUUUCGAGGUUUUCGUACUUAGGAUGCUGGUGGAAUGGCUUUAAACGACCCGUCUUGAAACACGGACC
rnacentral:rRNA from 1 species